rnacentral:rRNA from 1 species
UGCGCAGGCGGCGGUUCGCGUGGAUAGAUGAAAUCUCCUGGCUUACCUGGGAGGAUGGUAUCCAGACGGGAUCGCUUGAGGGUCGGAGAGGGGCGUGGAAUUCCGGGUGGAGCGGUGAAAUGCGUAGAGAUCCGGAGGAACACCGACGGCGUAGGCAGCGCCCUGGACGACACCUGACGCUGAGGCACGAAAGCUGGGGAGCAAACA